ensembl:lncRNA
GGUAACAGAUGAAUAAUAUAUGAAUAGAAAUUAUACAAUAAUGUUAAUGAAUGACAGAAGUAAUAAAUACUUGCAACGCAUGACAAAGUUCACUAAAUUAAAAGCCUGGUUGUGAGACCAAGGAUUGUUAAGACAAGAAAACUGUAUUGAUUAUGAACUGAAGAGGAGCCAGACAUUGAAGAUACUGGCAUAUUGGCCAGUGGCAUCACGGCUACUGGCAUCAUGCCUGAUGGAGUCAAGACUACUGGCAUCAUGCCUGCUGGAGUCAAGACUACUGGCAUCAAGACUACUGGCAUCAAGACAACUGGCUGUAAUGCAACUACAUUGGAACUGCCAUCUGCUGUUGUUGCUGUCGUUGUGGGGCCAGCUGUGGUUGUAGACAGACCAGUUGUGGUAGUUGUUGGUCCAGCUGUAGUAGGUGUUGGUUGAGCAUUGGUAGUUGUUGGUCCAGCUGUGGUUGUGGACUGGUCAGAUGUUAUUGGGCCAGCAAUGGUUGUAGUUGGAACAGCUGUUAUUUUAGUUGUGCCAAAUGUGGUUAUUGUUGGUCCAGCUGUGGUAGCAGUUGGGACAGCCGUUGUUUUAGUUGGGCCAGUUGUGGUAGUUGUUUGGCCAGCUACGGUAGCUAUCUGCCCAGCUAUGGUUGUUGUUGGUCCAGCUGUGGUAGUUGUUGGUCCAGUUGUGAUUUUUGUUGGACCAGCUGUGUUGGUUGCGGGGCUCGAUGUUGUGGUCGUUUGGCCAAAUAUUAUUGUUGGUCCAGCUGUGUUAGUUGUUGGACCAGCUGUGGUCUUUGUUGGAACAGAUUUUGUUGUCUUGCCAGAUGUGGUUGGUCCAGCUAUUGUGGUUGGUUGGCUAGCUAUGGUAGUUGUUGGUCCAGCUGUGGUUGUUGUUGGUCCAGAGGUGGUGGUUGUUGGUUCAGCUGUUGGUCCAGCUGUGUUAGUUAUUGGUAGAGCUGUAAUGGUUGUUUGGCCAGCUGUGUUUUUUGUUGGUCCAGCUGUGGUUGUUGUCUUAACAGCUGUGUUGGGAGAUGGUCCAGCUGUGUUUUUUGUUGGUCCAGCUGUGGUUGUUGUCUUAACAGCUGUGGUGGGAGACGGUCCAGCUGUGGUUGUUGAUGUGCUAAAUGGGGAAGUUGUUGGGCCAACUGUUGUUGUUUUUGGGCUAUAUGUGGUAGUUUUUGGUCCAGCUGUGGUAGCUGUUGAUCCAUUUUUGGUAGUUGUUGGUACAGCUGUGGUAGUUGUUGGUCCAGCUGUGGUUGUUGUGGGGCUUGAUGUUGUGGUAGUUGGGCCAGCUUUGGUAGUUGGUAGUCCAGCUGUGGUGGUAGUUGGUCCAGCUGUGGUCAUUUUUGUUCCAUGUUUGGUUGUUGUUGGGAUUGUUGUGGUUAUUGGUCCAGCCGUUAAUGUUGUUGGUCCAGCUUUAGAAGUGGUUGGUCCAGCUGUGGUAGUUCUUGAUCCAGCUGUGUUUUUUGUUGGUCCAGCUGUGGUUGUUGUGGGGCUUAAUGUUGGGGUAGAUGGACCAGCUCUGGUAGUUGUUUGUUCAGCUUUGGUGGUUGUUGGGAUUGAUUUGGUAGUUGUUGGUCCAGGUUUGGUAGUGGUUGUUCCAGCGGUGUUAGUUGUUGACGAAGCGGUAGUUCUUGUUUGGGCAGCUGUGGUAGUUUUUGGUCCAGUGGUGGUAGAUGUUGGGACAGCUGUGGUAGUUGUUAGUCCAGCAGUGGUUGUUGUUGGGCGAGCUGUGUUAGUUGGUAGUCCAGCUGUGGUGGUAGUUGGGAUUGAUGUGGUAGUUGUUGGGGCAGUUUUUGUAGUUGUUGGGGCAGCUGUGGUAGUUGUGGGCCCAGCGGAGGUAGUUGUUGGGGCAGGAAUGUCUGUUGUAGGGCUUAAUGUUGCGGUAGUUUGGCCGGCUGUGGUAGUCGUUGGGGCAGCUGUGGUCUUUGUUGGAACAGGUUUUGUUGUCUUGCCAGAUGUAGUUUGUCCAGCUAUGGUGGUUGUUGGGCUAAGUAUGGUAGUUGUUGGUCCAGCUUUGGUGGUUGUUGGUACAGCUGUUGGUCCAGCUGUGUUAGUUAUUGGUAGAGCUGUAAUGGUUGUUUGGCCAGCUGUGUUUUUUAUUGGUCCAGCUGUGGUUGUUGUCAUAACAGCUGUGGUGGGAG